AAAAAAGAUAAGACAUGGACUGACGCUCGAGCAAAAGCUAUUAAGUGGUGAUGGUGAUGGUGUUGCUGCGUCCGAGCCACCGGUUGACAGUAUGGCAUUAUGGGUUGAGGCAUCGGGUGGAAUAAGAAGAGGUCAAAUAUUUGGGAUGGGAUCCUUGUCAAGGAUAUACACAACGCCGGCUGCUGCAACUUCAUCCUCCAAUGCGGCUUUUUUAAGGAGGACACAACACGAGGAGCAAAUGACCCAAGAAUUGAACCAACUGAAACAUUUACUUGUACAGAAGGACGAAGAAAUAAGAGGAGUGAAACAACAUUUGCAAUUGAUCAUGCGACACCUCAACCUCGAUUAA